GAGAUAGCUUAGUGCCUUCGGGAACUCUGAGACAGGUGCUGCAUGGCUGUCGUCAGCUCGUGUUGUGAAAUGUUGGGUUAAGUCCCGCAACGAGCGCAACCCUUAUCCUUUGUUGCCAGCGAGUAAUGUCGGGAACUCAAAGGAGACUGCCGGUGAUAAACCGGAGGAAGGUGGGGAUGACGUCAAGUCAUCAUGGCCCUUACGAGUAGGGCUACACACGUGCUACAAUGGCAUAUACAAAGAGAAGCGAACUCGCGAGAGCAAGCGGACCUCAUAAAGUAUGUCGUAGUCCGGAUUGGAGUCUGCAACUCGACUCCAUGAAGUCGGAAUCGCUAGUAAUCGUAGAUCAGAAUGCUACGGUGAAUACGUUCCCGGG
rnacentral:rRNA from 1 species